UACAGAGGGGGGGGGGGCAAAGCGUUUUAUUUCGGGGAAAUUUAUUUGGGGGCGUAAAAGGGGCGCGUUAGGGCGGGCUUUUGCAAAGUGACGGGGGUUGAAAAGCCCCCUCGGGGCUUUUAAACCCCGAGGGGGAAACUUGCCCCUUGUCAGACUUGUUGAGGGGCUUUGAGACCCCAGGGGAGAGGGGUGAGUUUUUUUGGGGAAAUUUCCCCAGUGUAGCGGGGGUGAAAAUUUGCGUAGAUAUUUUGGGGGGAGGGGAA
rnacentral:rRNA from 1 species